rnacentral:rRNA from 1 species
GCUGAACGCUGGCGGCGUGCCUAAUACAUGCAAGUCGAGCGAACGGACGAGAAGCUUGCUUCUCUGAUGUUAGCGGCGGACGGGUGAGUAACACGUGGAUAACCUACCUAUAAGACUGGGAUAACUUCGGGAAACCGGAGCUAAUACCGGAUGAUAUUUUGAACCGCAUGGUUCAAAAGUGAAAGACGGUCUUGCUGUCACUUAUAGAUGGAUCCGCGCUGCAUUAGCUAGUUGGUAAGGUAACGGCUUACCAAGGCAACGAUGCAUAGCCGACCUGAGAGGGUGAUCGGCCACACUGGAACUGAGACACGGUCCAGACUCCUACGGGAGGCAGCAGUAGGGAAUCUUCCGCAAUGGGCGAAAGCCUGACGGAGCAACGCCGCGUGAGUGAUGAAGGUCUUCGGAUCGUAAAACUCUGUUAUUAGGGAAGAACAUAUGUGUAAGUAACUGUGCACAUCUUGACGGUACCUAAUCAGAAAGCCACGGCUAACUACGUG